GUUUUAAUAAUUUAAAUAAAAUAUUGGUCUUGUAAGUCAAAAAUGAAAAUAAUUUCUUAAAACU
rnacentral:tRNA from 1 species